rnacentral:rRNA from 1 species
AAGUCGUAACAAGGUUUCCGUAGGUAAACCUGCGGAAGGAUCAUUAGUGAAAUCCAAAUGGUUGGUGUUCCAGCAUCUCACGAGCUGGACUCUUCCGUCCUUACAUACACCUUUGUCGAACUGUCGGGAGUUGGUUCUGCCUUCUCUCACCUUUCAAACUCUUAAGUUUUUGAAUGAAGUCUUGGUGAAAACCAAAAACACAACUUUCAACAACGGAUCUCUUGGCUCUCGCAUCGAUGAAGAACGCAGCGAAAUGCGAUAAGUAAUGUGAAUUGCAGAAUUCAGUGAAUCAUCGAAUCUUUGAACGCAUCUUGCACCCUUGGGUAUUCCCUUGGGUAUGUCUGUCUGAGUGUCAUUUGAACUCUCAAAGCCCCCUCCCUUCCUUUGACCGGGUUGGAGUGCUUUGGAUCGUGGGCGCUUGCGAGCCUGGCUCGCUCGUCUGAAAUCAAAUGUGGUGGUUUUCUCUAAAGCCUGUGUCGGGUUUGACCUGGAGUGAUAGAAGUCUUUCGAGAUCUCUGGGGACUGCCUUUUGGCGACCUGCCGAGGUGGGAGAGAUUGCCUACUAGGACUCAUCUGACGUUUUUGACCUCAGAUCAGGCAGGACUACCCGCUGAACUUAA